GACGAACGCUGGCGGCGUGCUUAACACAUGCAAGUCGAGCGGUAAGGCCCUUCGGGGUACACGAGCGGCGAACGGGUGAGUAACACGUGGGUGAUCUGCCUCGCACUUCGGGAUAAGCCUGGGAAACUGGGUCUAAUACCGGAUAUGACCUUUCAGUGCAUGCUGUUUGGUGGAAAGAUUUAUCGGUGCGAGAUGGGCCCGCGGCCUAUCAGCUUGUUGGCGGGGUAACGGCCCACCAAGGCGACGACGGGUAGCCGACCUGAGAGGGUGACCGGCCACACUGGGACUGAGACACGGCCCAGACUCCUACGGGAGGCAGCAGUGGGGAAUAUUGCACAAUGGGCGAAAGCCUGAUGCAGCGACGCCGCGUGAGGGAUGACGGCCUUCGGGUUGUAAACCUCUUUCGACAGGGACGAAGCGAAAGUGACGGUACCUGUAGAAGAAGCACCGGCCAACUACGUGCCAGCAG
rnacentral:rRNA from 1 species